GAUCUACUAUGCAAAGACAAAAAGUCAAUGUUUUUAUUAAUACGAGUGUUUCAUUCAAAAUUAAUAGUUACAAAAAGUAAUCAGUCCAAACUUAAUUCAUACAACUGCAUAUUUGAAGCCACAGUAUUCUUCAGAUGGGAAACUGUCUCUAAUUUUUUUCACAACACAUGCAGGCAAGAUCUUUCUGUUGUGACGUCCAAGGCGAUGCCAUAUCCACUGAACAAAUCUCCUAUAUGCCAUAAACCUAUAUUUCCUACAAAUCAAAACAUUAAUUAUAUUCAUAUACAACUUUCAGUACCAUACUUUUAACUGAUGUAAAUAUAUUUACAAACAUACAAUGAAAGUUAUAAUGAAAAAUUACUUAUUGACUUUUUUUUUUAUUUUCGAAAGACCGAAACAUUUUAAAUCUGUUGUACCUGUCAUUUUGUAUUGUAUUUAGGUUAAAAAGAAAUAUUUAGGAUUUAUAAAUAUUACCUAAGGUGUACUGCCAUGUAUAUAUUUGCUACCUAUGUAUAU
rnacentral:lncRNA from 1 species